GAGAAGUUACUAGAAGGAUUAAUGGAUCUGUGCUACAAUGUUAGGAUCCCCUUAAUCACUUCUUUAGUUUCUGCUAGAAUCUUACUGAUUUAAGGACCUUAAUUCUAGAGUGCUCUGGCUUUCCUCCAAGCAGGAGGAGAGUUCCAACUCAUAGCAGAUGUAGACCAUCCCCUAAGACUCAGGAUCAAUCAGACAGAAGUGAAACAACUCAUCCCACCUGUAAAUUGUCACCUCUAAGCAAGCAAAGAGACAGGCCUCUGGGAAUGCCGUGUGUUACACCUAUGCCAGGGAGAAAAGUGUUCACAGUAUAAAAUCAGACAUGAUGAUCAUGUUGAAACUUGUGGUUCUUGCUACAUCUAAAAAAAACAUGAAGCGGUUUAGGAGACAAGCUCUUGUUUACGCUGACACAGAUGGCUGGAAUAAAUUAGUGGACUCACUAAAGAACAGUUCAUUUUAGUUUAAAAUGCAUUUGGACACUUCUCAAAACUCACAUGGUGACCAUUUUCUGUUAUUUAUUCAUCUAGUUGUGCUUUACGAUUCCAUGCCCAAAGGCUAUGUCUGAGUAAUAGUCAGAGUUUCCUCUUAAUGGACUUUUAUUAUUAUGUAUAUCUCAUUUGUACUCCUGUGCUGCGGCCAACCAUGGGUUAUCCUGUGUAGCUACUCUUUCUGGAAACUGGUGCAAAUCCAACUGCAACCAAGCAGAUUAGAAAGACAAUGUAAACUUCAGUACUGUGAAUGUUCUAAAUUGAGCAUUUUCCCUAAAUCAGUGAAGAAACCCAUGAAGUUGUAACUACAUACUUCAACAUCAGUGCUGCUACAUAGAAUCAUAGAAUCAGCUAAGUCGGAAAAGACCUUCAAGAUCAUCAAGUCCAACCUUUACCCCAGGACUGCCAAGUCCAUCACUAAACUAUUUAAGUUUAGGAGAGGCUGUGAGAGCAAAGCUUCUCAAAUUAACUCUUCAAUUCCAAUCCCCCCUGGACUGGAUUAGGAUGAGGGAGGACAAAGCAUAGCACUAUUACUCUAUGGGUCUUCACUUAUGGACCAUUCAGCAGCACCGUCUUCCUCACACUUCAAAUUUUUCACAUGUACAUGUUUCCU